rnacentral:rRNA from 1 species
UUAAAAUCUGGCAGCUUCUUUCAGGUUGUCCGAGUUGUAAUCUAAAGAAGCAAUUGCCCGCGCUGGAUCCAUGCACAAGUCUCCUGGAACGGAGCAUCAUGGAGGGUGAGAAUCCCGUCUCUGGCAUGGAGCUUCCAGGGCUUUUGUGGCGUGCUCUCGAAGAGUCGAGUUGUUUGGGAAUGCAGCUCAAAAUGGGUGGUAAACUCCAUCUAAAGCUAAAUAUUGGCGAGAGACCGAUAGCGGACAAGUACCGUGAGGGAAAGAUGAAAAGCACUUUGGAAAGAGAGUUAAACAGUACGUGAAAUUGUUGAAAGGGAAACGCUUGAAGUCAGUCACGUUGGCCGGGGAUCAACCCUGCAAUUUUGUGGGGUGUACUUUCUGGUUCGACGGGUCAGCAUCAGUUUUGACUGCUGGAAAAAGGCUUUGGAGAAUGUGGCACCAUUUCUGGUGUGUUAUAGCUCCUUGUCGAAUGCAGCAGUUGAGAUUGAGGAACUCAGUGUGCCGCAAAGGCUCGGGUCACUAGACCACGUUCACGCUUAGGAUGCUGGCAUAAUGGCUUCAAUCGACCCGUCUUGAAACACGGACCAAGGAGUCUAACAUGCCUGCGAGUGUUUGGGUGGAAAAACUCAUGCGCGAAAUGAAAGUAAAAGUCGAGACCUCUGCUUCAGAGGGCACCGAUGCCCGGACCUGAACUUUUGCGAUGGAUCCGCGGUUGAGCAUGCAUGUUGGGACCCGAAAGAUGGUGAACUAUGCCUGAAUAGGGUGAAGCCAGAGGAAACUUCUGGUGGAGGCUCGUAGCGAU